GCAAUAGCUCAGUUGGUAGAGCAUGAGUUUCUUAAUUUUAGGGUCAUGGGUUCAAGCCCCGUGUUGGGCA